rnacentral:tRNA from 1 species
UGGAAGAGUGGCAGAGCGGCCGAAUGCACCUGUCUUGAAAACAGAUGACGGGCAACCGUCCGGGGGUUCGAAUCCCUCCUCUUCCGU